rnacentral:rRNA from 1 species
ACCGCCCGUCACACCAUGGAAGUCUGCAAUGCCCGAAGCCGGUGGCCUAACCACUUAUGUGGAAGGAGCCGUCUAAGGCAGGGCAGAUGACUGGGUGAAGUCGUAACAAGGUACC